GUCCUCUGAUUCUUCAGUGCAACGGGGCUCUGUACCUUUUCUGAUGUCUGUGGCCGGUUGGCCGGGCAGGCUUCCUCCAAUGGGGUACGGUUCUGUUAUUUUGCCAUUCAUUCACUCAAAAUUCCAAAAAUCGAAUAUAGUAAAAUAGUAGAUCAAAUUCAUUAAUGUUAUCUUAACAGCUGUUUAAUAGAUUUAUAUGUUUGUUUUUAUGAUUUUUUUUUUUUUGCAUGCUUGAUUUUAUGAAUUUUUACUGUUUGUUUUGUUAAUUGCAGAUUUACAGUGUUUGAUUGAUUUCGGUGAGGUGGUUGUUCAUCUGUUUUUUCUGUUAACAGUGCUUACCACCUGUUUGAGAAAAGCAGUAGCAGCUGCAGGAACUACAACAGUAGCAGCUGCUGUGAUUCUAGAUGGAUGAAGAGGAGUGGGGUUAUAUUGAAGUCAGACCCGUAAGCAAUUUACUCAUAUAUACUGUAUAUAUUGUAUGGAAUAAGAGAUGUUAAUUUUCAUAGAAUUUUUGUUCAUUUUUUGUUUAGGUAUUGUAUUUACACAGAAGUGCAUAU